rnacentral:rRNA from 1 species
AGAGUUUGAUCCUGGCUCAGAUUGAACGCUGGCGGCAUGCUUUACACAUGCAAGUCGAACGGCAGCACGGGCUUCGGCCUGGUGGCGAGUGGCGAACGGGUGAGUAAUGCAUCGGAACGUACCGUGUAGUGGGGGAUAACGUAGCGAAAGUUACGCUAAUACCGCAUACGCCCCGAGGGGGAAAGUGGGGGACCGCAAGGCCUCACGCUAUAUGAGCGGCCGAUGUCGGAUUAGCUAGUUGGUAGGGUAAAGGCCUACCAAGGCGACGAUCCGUAGCGGGUCUGAGAGGAUGAUCCGCCACACUGGGACUGAGACACGGCCCAGACUCCUACGGGAGGCAGCAGUGGGGAAUUUUGGACAAUGGGCGCAAGCCUGAUCCAGCCAUGCCGCGUGAGUGAAGAAGGCCUUCGGGUUGUAAAGCUCUUUCGGACGGAAAGAAAUCGCAUCUUUUAAUACAGGGUGUGGAUGACGGUACCGUAAGAAGAAGCACCGGCUAACUACGUGCCAGCAGCCGGCGGUAA